GUGGGGAUAUUGCACAAUGGGCGAAAGCCUGAUGCAGCGACGCCGCGUGAGGGAUGACGGCCUUCGGGUUGUAAACCUCUUUCAGUAGGGAAGAAGCGAAAGUGACGGUACCUGCAGAAGAAGCGCCGGCUAACUACGUGCCAGCAGCCGCGGUAAUACGUAGGGCGCAAGCGUUAUCCGGAUUUAUUGGGCGUAAAGAGCUCGUAGGCGGUUUGUCGCGUCUGCCGUGAAAGUCCGAGGCUCAACCUCGGAUCUGCGGUGGGUACGGGCAGACUAGAGUGAUGUAGGGGAGACUGGAAUUCCUGGUGUAGCGGUGAAAUGCGCAGAUAUCAGGAGGAACACCGAUGGCGAAGGCAGGUCUCUGGGCAUUUACUGACGCUGAGGAGCGAAAGCAUGGGGAGCGAACAGGAUUAGAUACCCUGGUAGUCCAUGCCGUAAACGUUGGGCACUAGGUGUGGGGGACAUUCCACGUUUUCCGCGCCGUAGCUAACGCAUUAAGUGCCCCGCCUGGGGAGUACGGCCGCAAGGCUAAAACUCAAAGGAAUUGACGGGGGCCCGCA
rnacentral:rRNA from 1 species